ACAACCAAACAGCUCCGAUCCGAAACCCCUAAGACGAAAGUGAUGGGGUCAGGACGUUAGGGUCUGGGGGGAAACGCCCAGGCCUUCCGAACUUGAGAAGGAGUUUUAUGCUGACCUAC
rnacentral:ncRNA from 2 species